GUAAUUUUCUCUCCUCCGCUCACCUUGGUUUCCUUCCAUCCUUUCUCCUUUUUUUUUCGUACCUUCGGUAAUCCUCCCCCUUAUCGUAAUGGCGUCUGUCUGCGGUUUUUUCUACAUUUGCUCGAUUAUUUCAUUUCUGCCCUUUUUUUUGGAUUCUUGGAAGAUUGCUGUCGAUUAAGUCAUUAAUGUUAAUCGCGAGUGUGGUUUUUUAUUACAUUUGUUUCACAUAAGUUAUAUAAGAUUUUAUAUAAAUGAAAAUAUGUAACGCGAACGGAACGCUGAUUUUCCUUUCCGUUGUAAUUAAAGCGUUUGAAAACAACAUGUUGUGAAUAUUAUGAAAUGAAUAUUUCAGGAGUGGCUUCGAUAACGUUACCUACCUCUCGUUGUUCUUCAUAUAUAUUUUCCGAUUAUAGAUAUUUGAAAUUUAAAAUCUUCGGCUUUGUCAUAUAAUUUCUGAUUUCUGCAUCUUUGUAUCUUACAUUUUUCCUACCAUGUGCGGAUCGCAUAGACUUUAAUUGCCAUGUUUUAUUCGGCGAAAAUCCGAUCCCGAGAGACCCGAAAGUGAAUAAUGCAGUGCGAGCUCUUCGGCCUGCGUCGAGACUGCUUCACGUCGUUAACGACCUCGGAGACCGUUUAAGAGUCUCUUACGGUGAUUUAAAACGUCUGUCUCCUUUGUACAUCGUCGAAAAAAUUCGCUGUUAAUCCGCUGCGCGUGGACGUUUUUUUGCGACUCAAAACGACGCCGUCAUCGACAUCUUGAAUCGUGAACGACUCGCGUUGAAACGAGGUGAAAUUUCUUCACGAGAGUGAAAGGCGUCAGGAAACGUUGUUAGUAAUGGCGGCGAUUGCAUAACACGAAGGCGUGCGUAAGCCUUUGUUGGAAAGAUUCUCACUGCACGCGAUGUAAUUACACAUCUCAUAUAGACGUAAUUUCAUAUGUCACGGUGAUCCUACCACUCUGGAAGAGCCGAAUGUCUCUGGGCUUGAGUCUACAGGAUAA